rnacentral:lncRNA from 1 species
AAGGUUAUUAGUAUUUGAGAUGACAGCAGAGAGCUUUCCCUGGGCUGGCGGUGAAGAAGGAGAAAAGCCAGCUAAGCUGAGCUACGUGUUCACAUGCAUUCAAAGUCUGACAAAGGGCUUGUGGUGCAAAGUCCCCUUUAACUGUACUUUGUGCUGCAAGAAAUUAAGUCUUUCCUUGCCUUAAGGUGUUAUCAUUGUUAGGUGAUAUAAAAAUGCCCAGCUGUUCCCCCCUGGAAGCAAGAACUGUAGGUUUGAGGUAAAGUUCAUCUUGGUGUUUCUGAAAAUUUGGACUUGAACAGUAUGCUUUGAAAAGAUGAUGCAUUGCACUGUAUUUAUAUUUAUUCAGCAUGAGGGUCCUUCAUUAAAUUAGGAGUCACUUAUGGAAAGCACCACAAUGAGUGCCUGACACAAUGCUGCCUUGGUCAUGGGCCUGCCAGAAAAGGGGAAGCUGGAGGUCUUUGUCUGCCAGGUGUCAUUGUCCUCUCUUAAACUGCAGCCAGAGCAUGACAAUGAUUCAGGAGUGAUGAUUCAGUCAAUGGAUACCUCUUUAUUUUAUUGUAAGAUUAAGCUUUUAUAACAAUUCAGAGUGCUUGAGUUGCUGGAGCUGAUUAUAUAUUCCAUUUUCAUUAUUUUACAGGAUAAAAGUAUAACAACAAAUCAGCUUCCACUCAUGUAAGAUGACAGGUAUCUCUCUGCCAAGAAGAAUCUUGCUUUAUGACUUGUGAAUUGAAAUUUGUAUCCUCUCUAAGCACUCUUCCUAUCCAAAGUUUGGAGCAGAGAGUGGAACACAGCAGCAUGUUGUGGGAUCCUGGUUCUCAGCCUUCUCAAAGGGAAGCAGAAGGUAUUAUUCUCAAGGAGCUGUUUUUAGCAGACAGCAGUUUACUCCUAACCCCCUGGCAAGGUAACCAGUAAAAAUGCAUGAUAAAGCAUUAGUAAGCACACUAGUAAUCCAACCUUUUCUUUCUCUGUAGGAAGUUUAAUGAGUUAAAACUGUACUUUUGCUCCAAGACUCCCAUUCAUUGAGUUGGUAUGAAACCCAAGUACCCCUUUGUGCUACAACUGUACCUUCAAUGACUGACAAGGUACUGAAACCCUCUCUUUCACCUUGCUGUAGGAAAUCUUUAAUAUAGAUCAGUGAGAAAAGAUUUUCAACCUGUGACAGGAGUGUGCUGGGACCAAAUUUUUCACUUCCUGUUUCAAAUGGGUAACUCACUCCCUGUCCAGUGGAAGUUGUACUCAGGCCAUGCAUCAUGGGCAAGCAUUAUUCCCUUACCUACUGCUGCUCUGAGCACCUUAGGGUCUGGCAGGAGUGUGGGUAUGCAAACAGUGGGAUUUACAGGGCUUGUGCUCAGGAGCACCUGGUGCCCAAGCUGAGUACAGCUCUUUACAUGAUCAGGAAGUAGGCUUCCCUAAAGAAACGUAAUUCUUCCUUUAUGCCAAACUUGGUUCAAUGCAUGUGAAUUAUCAAAUAAAUUCCUCUGCUUUCUAAAAUGAGAAGUGAUU